GAUAAACGGUGUACAUUCUUCAAGCAAGGGCAUUCUUCCGUUGAGCUAAACGAAGUUGCGUGCAGGAAGAUAAAUGUGCCUAAUUAAUAUUAAUUUCAAGUUACAAAGUAUGGAGGAACCAGUAAAAUUGUUAUAACUGCAGUUACAAGGCCGAACGACAUUAUCUUGCGUCGUUGUUUCUUCUAUUUUUACGACUUCCGCAUUUCGCAGUUCUGCCAUCAAAAUUUGAAUUACGCGCUUCUAGAGAAAGUCACGUGGUCAGCGACAAUCGCCGCAUACUUGUGCUCGCAAGGACGCGCAUUAUCGUUUCAUCAAUGAAGACGUGUGCGUAGCGUUGGAUAAAUCAUGCAUUUCUCGUAUAACGUCGUCAUCGUUAUUGCUAUCACCGUUCAGCAUCAUCAGAAUGCGUGAUUGAGACGAUUGCAUUGAAACCGAUAUGAAGGAUCAUGUUAUCGAGAGGCGCGAGAAAGAUCAAAGUUGUCGCGCGAACAUCACGAAGGCGAGCACGAGGGCGGGAACUUGGACGUGGCGGGCCUAAAAAUAUGCCGACGAUACGCAUCAUAGCCCGUGCAUAUACGAGGGGGUUGGUUUUACGUUUAAAAGUACAUUUGGCGAUGCGCCAGGAGCAUGUCGAAAAAAAUCCCCACGGCGUAAACGCACAGCCGAGUCGCGGUGUCGUGCACGCCGCGUCGUCAACCGCGUGCGGCUCGCGCGGAAUGUUCACUGCCGUUCAAUGAGCCAGAAAACAUCAAAGAACCAAAGGGUAGAAGAAUACGAAUUUGGAAGAUUAAUGAACGAUACUGUAGCAAAGAUGACAACGAACCUUGAAGGUGGUGUUGGCAGGAUGGUGCACAUCACCGGAGCCGGAUAGUCCACCCCGUAGUAAACGCGAGAGAAGAUUGUAGCGACCCGCCGUCGACCAUGCAUCCUUCGUCGCUUGCACGGGAUACCUAAUUGACUUUGAGUCGUUGCUGAGCAACCAACCCUGAGGGCAGAGACACUUAGUUUCGCUCAGAAACUGAUCGAGAGCAACGCAGCGAUAAUCACAGCCGCAGCCACUGAUCGCAGGUAUAAUGAGGAUUUCACCCGGCCCGUAAUGAGCUGCGUCCUUGAAGUGGAUAUUCGUAUGGUCCAAAUUGGGUCCGGUCCUGUCAGUCGGCGUGGGGCCGCUAUGGAGAGUCCAGCCUAAAGGCCUCCCGGAAACGUUCUUCCAUCCGCACCAACCGCUCUGGAAAUUGCAUCUUGCGUGCUCAGUAAUGGGAAAUGUGCGCACCGCAUCCGAACAGUUCAUCCUCGCCGCCAGGGCAAUCGUAUGUUAAAUCGCAGACCUGAGAUCUGUUCAAGCAGGCGAACGUUGUCGAUGGCGACACUUGAAUUCUUAAAGGGCGCAUAGACCUCCAAGAAUAAUCUGUAAGAUGGAGUGGCUGCGCGCGCCUCAAAGGAUACUCUCUCCCAUCUGGAAAAAUGACAUUGAACUAUCCACGACGAUGAGACUUAUCCCGCCAUGCUGCAUCUCUACCUGAUAGAUCCAAAACUCGAUGCGGCAGUACAUGAUUGAGCGGGGGAGCGGCAUGGACCACGUUUGACCAUAUCCGGGACCUCUGUACCACAGGAAGUGGCCUUAAAAAAACGAAUCGCAAAUCAAUCUUCACGCAAAUUGUCGGCGUCCAUGGACGGCAGGAUGACGCUGGUCGACGACGCCGUGACUCUCGUGAAGCUCGAGGUGCGGUUCCAGAACCAGAUGUUACAAGGCACCUCGAAAUCGCAGUAGCCUAGUGCCUGGCGCGGAU